rnacentral:rRNA from 1 species
UACGGGGGGGGGCAAGCGUUGUUCGGAAUUACUGGGCGUAAAGGGCGCGUAGGCGGUCAGCACAAGUCAGUUGUGAAAUCUCCGGGCUUAACUCGGAAAGGUCAACUGAUACUGUGCGACUAGAGUGCGGAAGGGGCAACUGGAAUUCUCGGUGUAGCGGUGAAAUGCGUAGAUAUCGAGAGGAACACCUGCGGCGAAGGCGGGUUGCUGGGCCGACACUGACGCUGAUGCGCGAAAGCCAGGGGAGCGAACGGG